rnacentral:ncRNA from 2 species
GGAAGCCGGUGGGAGUCCGGCGCGGUCGCGCCACUGUGACCGGUCCUGCGAGGGGCCGGGAGUCAGGGAAC